rnacentral:rRNA from 1 species
UACGUAUGGUGCAAGCGUUGUCCGGAAUUAUUGGGCGUAAAGAGCUCGUAGGCGGUUUGUUGCGUCGGCUGUGAAAUCCCGAGGCUCAACCUCGGGUCUGCAGUCGAUACGAGCAAACUAGAGUGUUGCAGGGGAGACUGGAAUUCCUGGUGUAGCGGUGAAAUGCGCAGAUAUCGGGAAGAACACCCGUGGCGAAGGCGGCACUCUGGGACGGUACUGACGCUGAGACGCGAAAGCGUGGGGAGCAAACAGG